rnacentral:rRNA from 1 species
AUACGAAGGGUGCAAGCGUUAAUCGGAAUUACUGGGCGUAAAGCGCGUGUAGGUGGUUUUGUAAGUUGGAGGUGAAAGCCCCGGGCUCAACCUGGGAAUUGCCUCCAAAACUGCAUGACUAGAGUACGGUAGAGGGUAGUGGAAUUUCCUGUGUAGCGGUGAAAUGCGUAGAUAUAGGAAGGAACACCAGUGGCGAAGGCGACUACCGGGACUGAUACUGACACUGGGGUGCGAAGGCGUGGGGAGCAAACGGGAUUAGAUCCCCGGGUAGUCCACGCCGUAAACGAUGUCAACUAGCCGUUGGGAUCCUUGAGAUCUUAGUGGCGCAGCUAACGCAUUAAGUUGACCGCCUGGGGAGUACGGCCGCAAGGUUAAAACUCAAAUGAAUUGACGGGG